GCCGGGGUGUUGGAACGGUAGACAAUGGGGACUUAAAAUCCCUUGGGCGGUAACGCCCGUGCGGGUUCGAAUCCCGCCCCCGGCACCA
rnacentral:tRNA from 1 species